AACGAACGCUGGCGGCAGGCUUAACACAUGCAAGUCGAGCGCCCCGCAAGGGGAGCGGCAGACGGGUGAGUAACGCGUGGGAAUCUACCCAUCUCUACGGAAUAACGCAUGGAAACGUGUGCUAAUACCGUAUACGUCCUUCGGGAGAAAGAUUUAUCGGAGAUGGAUGAGCCCGCGUUGGAUUAGCUAGUUGGUGGGGUAAAGGCCUACCAAGGCGACGAUCCAUAGCUGGUCUGAGAGGAUGAUCAGCCACACUGGGACUGAGGCACGGCCCGGGGGCGUGCGGAGGGCAGGAGGGGGGAGUAUUGGAGGAGGGGCGCAAGACUGGUCCAGGCAUGCCGCGUGAGUGAUGAAGGGCCUAGGGUUGUAAAGCGCUUUCACCGGUGAAGAGAAUGACGGUAACCGGAGAAGAAGCCCCGGCUAACUUCGUGCCAGCCGCCGCCGUAAAAC
rnacentral:rRNA from 1 species